rnacentral:rRNA from 1 species
GCAGCGAUGAUAUCUUAAUCCACACGACUCUCGGCAACGGAUAUCUCGGCUCUCGCAUCGAUGAAGAACGUAGCAAAAUGCGAUACCUGGUGUGAAUUGCAGAAUCCCGCGAACCAUCGAGUUUUUGAACGCAAGUUGCGCCCGAGGCCUUCCGGCCGAGGGCA